rnacentral:rRNA from 1 species
UACGGAGGGGGCUAGCGUUGUUCGGAAUCAUUGGGCGUAAAGGGCGCGUAGGCGGCCGAUCAAGUCGGAGGUGAAAUCCCUCGGCUCAACUGAGGAAUUGCCUUCGAUACUGUUCGGCUUGAGUCCUGGAGAGGGUAGCGGAAUUCCCGGUGUAGCGGUGAAAUGCGUAGAGACCGGGAAGAACACCAGUGGCGAAGGCGGCUACCUGGACAGGUACUGACGCUGAGGCACGAAAGCGUGGGGAUCAAACAGG